UACGGAGGGGACUAGCGUUGUUCGGAAUUACUGGGCGUAAAGAGCGUGUAGGCGGCCCGGUAAGUCCGCUGUGAAAGUCGGGGGCUCAACCCUCGAAUGCCGGUGGAUACUGUCGGGCUAGAGUGCGGAAGAGGCGAGUGGAAUUCCUGGUGUAGCGGUGAAAUGCGCAGAUAUCAGGAGGAACACCAAUUGCGAAGGCAGCUCGCUGGGACGUAACUGACGCUGAGACGCGAAAGCGUGGGGAGCAAACAGG
rnacentral:rRNA from 1 species